rnacentral:rRNA from 1 species
UACAGAGGGUGCAAGCGUUAUUCGGAAUUACUGGGCGUAAAGCGCGCGUAGGCGGAUUAUUAAGUCAGUUGUGAAAGCCCUGGGCUCAACCUAGGAACUGCAUCUGAUACUGGUAAUCUAGAGUUUAGGAGAGGGAAGUGGAAUUCCAGGUGUAGCAGUGAAAUGCGUAGAUAUCUGGAGGAACAUCAGUGGCGAAGGCGACUUCCUGGCCUAAAACUGACGCUGAGGUGCGAAAGCGUGGGUAGCGAACGGG